CUUUUCUUAGGAACCAAGUCAAAACACAAAAAUCAACAAUAUCGUAUGAUACAUAUAAACAUGGCUAAAGUCACAAUUAACAUGGCAAAGUCACCAUUAUCUUAUGCUAGGACAAACAUAUAAACAUACAUAUAAAUAUAUACAAAUUAACAUGCUAAUAAAGUCACAAUUCUUAUGCUAGGACAAUAUACGUAGAAAAUCACUAUCCCAAGCAGAGAGUUAUUCUAGUCUAAUUGCAGAAGUUGGCCUAAAGGUACUAUAAACAUGACCUAGAAAAAGGAAACACACAGCAAAAGAAGGAAAAGAGAUAGUGAUGAAGCCAGAAGUGAGAGAUUCCAUUCCAAUACUUGUUAUGGAUUGUCAACCACAGGCACCUUCUCAAAUCCUUCCAGCUCCUUGAAACGCUUUGGCAAGAAACAACGGCCGCCCUUUUUCUGCUGCAGAUAUAUGAUUGCAGCAAACAGCAGACCCCCUAAAGGAAUGAUCAUAUCCCAAGCUGCGGAGUAAUAAUCUGCAGAUGGAUCUGCAUAUAUGUAAGACCAGUCGAAAUCAUCGACAUAAAAGUGUGCCUUGUAAAGAUCAUAUGCAUGUGGUAGCAAGCGCACAAAUGUAGUCCCUAUGUAGAAGAAACAAGAGAGAGCAUUUUCUCUUGAGUUGCGGAAAAUGUUUAGGAGGAUUUGAGGGAAAAGGAAACCAUCCAGUACCAAGCCAGCAUAAGACCUUAUGUUCGGCCAAAGGGAAUGCUGGUUUCUGUAAAAGCUUGGAGAAUCCAUCUCCUUGCCUAGUUUGCAAUUCCAACAAUUCAUGAACAAGGCAAUUAGGCCCCCAGCUAUAUAUAAUGGCAAAGAUACAUAGAGUGCCUUCUUCUCAGCAACCCAUGAGGCCUUUUGGUUUCCAUCAGCCAAUCGUGCAGACCAUACGAGUUGCAGAAACCGGAAUUGCAGCAUAAAAGCUACCAUUGUUACCACCUUUACGAUCACCUCAUUCACUUCAACCCAUCCACCACCUCUGAGCAGGAAAGAUUGAGUACUUUGCUUUGGCAAGAACAGAGCUUCAAAGUUGAGCACUAGAGGGAUCAUGCGCCCUACUGUAAGUACUACAAGCAUGAGAAGUGAGAUAAAAGGGAAUACAUUAGGGUGUUUCUUCACAUAGAAGAUUUGAUAUCCCACAAAGACACAUAUAAGGGUAUUAGAAAUCAAAGCCAUGAUAAUCUCUAAAUCCAUCCUUCGUAUCGAGUUUAUGCGACUGUAAUAAGGAACUGCAGAAAAGGAAAGAGGUUCAAAGUAUAGAGGAGAUGAACUUUCUCGUGUGCUUUCAAUGCGUCCCUUGAUAUAUUGGUUUGAAUCAAAUGGAGGCAACUGGACGUUGACAAGAAUCUCACAGUCCAUCGAAUCAUUUGCUAAUAUCUGGUUGUUUGAGUCAAGAUAUUUGCAGCCCACCAUAGAUAGAACUCCCGUUUCACCAUCGUAAAUCCCUUCAGCAGAAAUUUGGACAUACGUAUGCUCCUUUGAAGAAGCAUUGAAUGAUGUCAAGCUCAUUUGGUAACUGAUGUUCAGUGGCUGGAGUGGCUUUGCUUUAUCCUUUGCCUUUUCUGUUCCUGGACUUGAAUAUGGCCUGAAAUAUUGGUUCCUUGGAGCAAUUUUAUCACCAAUAGAGAUAGGAUUCGCAUGGCCCCAUCCAAAUCUUUUUCCUCUGGAAUUCUUGAUUGACAUUUCAAAUUGCAUGUCAUCUGAAUUCCCGUCUGAAUACUGCCUUCCUUCACUUCUACCGGGCUCCUCCUUGUAUGACUUUCUUGCUUUGUCCACCAGUGAAUACUCAUACUUCAACCCUGGAAUCUCAAUUCUAUCACUUCCAUAACUGCGAAAUUGAAUCCCAUCAAAGUAACCUGAAACCCCCACAGCCUUAUUGCUUGAAAUAUGUCCUGCAAUGCUACUAGCAUUUCUGAUUGACCAAACAGAAGGGAAUCUCAAACUCAACCUAAUUGAACAAUCCUCAACUUGAGAACCGCUUAAAGAAUUUGUUGGAGUUGAGAUUCGACAAGCAACAACACAUAAUUUUUUCUUCUUUGCAUUCCAUGAUCCUUCUGCGACUAGUGCUGUGUUCGGAUUGAAGGGGCGGUAAUAACUUGAGUAGCUACUGUUAAGAAACUCGACCAGAAAUCUUAGAGUUGGCCAAUCAUUUGAACAUUGGAUCGGCGUCAAGGACAUGACUGGAGGCAAAUAUUCGAUAUUGCUGCUAAAAGGAUUGCAACUCUUUGUAGAAUUGCAAGCAGUUGCAUACUCCAGCAGAAAUGAACUGGUCUGGUGUGAGAAUAUUGAACAAAUAGAAACACUCAACGGUAAGCUGAGCGAACUCUUUGUAACAUCAGCCCCAUAAGUAAAUCCCUUAUCAAUUUCUUUACCAGCCUCAGUGUAGGCAUAAUUCUUUAGAGGAAACAUCAACAAAGAUAUUGGCUCAAAAAAACUCGAGUCAUCAGCAGAACUCAAGCUCUCCAAUGUUCCCUGAACCAAACUUGUAAUAUUGCUCGAACUUUUAACAUCAUUAAGCUUGAGAAGAGCAGAAAGACCACGAAUUUCACCUUCUUCUGAGUAAGUAGAACUUGAGCCAACCAUGCAAAGCUUCCCAGUAGAUAUUGACCAGAAUCCUUCUAUCUCAAAACUUAAAGCACCCGUCUGAGACCAAAGAGAAACGACCUGGGGAGAAUCCGGGUAACCGUAUGUGACGCGUGAUGGUUGGAGGAUCAAACUCGCCUUGACCUUGUAGAGACCAUCAACACUAGUACUAUGGACAUCAUGGGUACGGAACAACAAAACUUUCCUGGGAUUUGAGGAGUAAUAGUGGCGAGAAGAAUCUGCAUGUUUCAAUAUGUCAUCCCCACCAAGAUAGUAGCCAUCCUGGUUUGGAGAAAAAGGGACAGUGAUGGCUUCAGGAUCAAUAGGGGUUGAUUCAGGGACAAACGAGGCACAGUGAUCACUGUAAUUAAGGUUGUCAGGUUUUGAACAAGAGAUGAUAGUUGCAUAAAACAAGGUGGUAAGGACUAAGGAUGUCGACAGUUGUUGAUACCAUGUUCUUAGAGAGCUAGCCAUAGAAUAACUCAAAGGCAAGGUUUUG
rnacentral:misc_RNA from 1 species